UUUUCCCCCCCCCGACUCUCUUCUUUGUUCGUUCUCUGCCGCUCGCGACUUCGGACUUCACGCGGUCGAAACCGGUGACAUCUUCUUCUCUCGGUGGCGCCGGCGAGGAGCGGACUUAGGAGUGUUGAGAGGAAGAGAGCGAUGGAGCUCGGUUUGGGGAUUUCGCCGGUUGCCGGGAAGGAACCAAGGGCAUCGGCGUUGGAUCUGGGCAUCGACAACCGGUGGUGUGAGGUUUUGGCUGUGAAUCAAGGUUUCCGAUCCCUUCUCUGUUCGUUAGCAAGAAACAGGACCGAGCCCUAAUUGAAGGAUUGGAGAGGUGAUGUGGUGAUUCCGGCCACCACAGAUUGAUUGGAUUAGUUCUUCCACCGGAGUUGUGAUCAUCUCCGGCGAUAGAAGAAGUAGAGGACCUUGAUUUAUACGAGCAGCGUGACGUGGGGUGGUUCUGUUGAUUGCGGGAUAUAUCGAGGCGGGUAUUUCUUCCUUAAGUUCUAUUUAGUUCUUUGAACUUUAAAAGCAUGGUUAUAUUUGGACAAGUAGGUUGCAUUCCUUAAAUCAGAUUAUUUGUUGUUUUCCUGCUUGUCACUUUUGCUUGAUCUUUGAUAUAAUCUGGGUUGAUUCUUUACAGUCUCUAUUCUUGUUAUCUGUGACUCUAUUGUUCAUACACAUGUAGAGUGUUGUAGGGAUGACUGUAUUGGGUAUUUGUGGUCUAUACCUGUCUAGGUUGUGAUUGGUACGUGUUAUGGGUUGUACAUGAUUAACAUUCCAUUUGCAUAGUGGUAUGUGUAGUUACGUUGGUUAUGGGUAUUGGAGGUGUUUAUGAGGGUUGAGGUUGUGGCAUGGAUGAUGAUUAUAUAUAUAUAUAUAUAUCAUGUUCAUCAUUCAUUGCAUCUGAUGACCGUUGUCUCCCUUGUGGUUGAGAGAGUCAUCAGUUGGUUUGGUUUAGCGCGCACCUUCGGCCA